UCAAGCAAGAAAGAGCACAGGGCGGAUGCCUUGGCACUGAGAGCCGAAGAAAGACGUGAUAAGCUGCGAAAAGCCAUGGGGAGGAGCAAAUAUCCCUUGAUCCAUGGAUCUCUGAAUGGGGAAACCCGGCUGGACAGACUCCAGUCAUCCAUGCGCCAAUCCAUAACGCAUGGAGGGGAACCCGGUGAACUGAAACAUCUAAGUAGCCGGAGGAAGAGAAAGAAACAUCGAUUCCGCAAGUAGCGGCGAGCGAACGCGGAAGAGGCCAAACCGGAAUGCGUGCAUUCCGGGGUUCGGACCGCAGACCUGAUUCAGGAAGUCCAGCAGAACGGCUUUGGGAAAGCCGGCCAGAGAGGGUGAAAGCCCCGUAAGCGAAGGACAGACUGACAGAGCGGUAUCCAGAGUAGGACGAGACACGAGAAACCUUGUCUGAACGAGCGGGGACCACCCCGUAAGCCUAAAUACUCCUCAGUGACCGAUAGCGCAAAGUACUGUGAAGGAAAGGUGAAAAGGACCCCGGGAGGGGAGUGAAAGAGAACCUGAAACCCUGUGUUUACAAGCUGUGGAAGCACUUUAUAUGUGCAACCGCGUACUUUUUGUAGAACGGUCCGGCGAGUUGCGUGUGCGGGCAAGGUUAAGCACUUCAGGUGCGGAGCCGAAGGGAAACCAAGUCUUAAGAGGGCGCCAAGUCCGCAGAUGCAGACCCGAAACCGGGUGACCUAUCCAUGUCCAGGUUGAAGCUGCCGUAAGAGGUAGUGGAGGACCGAACCCACAUCCGUUGAAAAGGGUGGGGAUGAGGUGUGGAUAGCGGAGAAAUUCCAAUCGAACCCGGAGAUAGCUGGUUCUCCUCGAAAUAGCUUUAGGGCUAGCCUCAUGAUAAUCUUGCGGAGGUAGAGCACUGAAUUCCUGCGGGGGCGUCAAAGCUUACCAAGGGAUAUCAAACUCCGAAUGCCGUGUAGAUGUUUCAUGGGAGUCAGACUGCACGAGAUAAGUUGGGUGGUCAAAAGGGAAAGAGCCCAGACCACCGGCUAAGGUCCCAAAGUGUGUGUUAAGUGGAAAAGGAUGUGGGGAUUCAAAGACAACUAGGAUGUUGGCUCAGAAGCAGCCAUACAUUCAAAGAGUGCGUAACAGCUCACUAGUCGAGAGUCCCUGCGCCGAAAAUGUCCGGGGCUGAAACACACCACCGAAGCCGUGGAAUUGCUCAGGCAAUUGGUAGAGGAGCAUUCUUAAGACCGAAGAAGCUGUACCGGAAGGAGCAGUGGAGGGAUAAGAAGAGAGAAUGCCGGAAUGAGUAGCGAGAGAGAGGUGAGAAUCCUCUCGGCCGAAUAUCCAAGGUUUCCAGAGUAAAGCUGAUCUGCUCUGGGUAAGUCGGGACCUAAGGCGAGGGCGAAAGCCGUAGCCGAUGGACAACAGGCAGAGAUUCCUGUACCGCAUAUAAACAGAACUGUGGGGACGCAUGCAGAAAGCAUAAGCCGGGAAUGGAAAGACCGGUACAAGCGGAGGAGGAGACGGGAAGGCAAAUCCGUCCGUCAAUCCAGAACCGUUAUGUGGAGCGAAAUAAAGUAGUGAAGUAUGCAGGCUGUGUGCCGAGAAAAGCCGCUAUUGUUUUAUAUGUGCCCGUACCGUAAACCGACACAGGUGGAUGAGGAGAGAAUCCUAAGGCCGACGGAAGAAGCAUUGUUAAGGAACUCGGCAAAAUGACCCCGUAACUUCGGGAGAAGGGGUGCCACAGAAAUGUGGCCGCAGAGAAUAGGCUCAAGCAACUGUUUAGCAAAAACACAGGUCUAUGCGAAACCGAAAGGUGAGGUAUAUGGGCUGACGCCUGCCCGGUGCUGGAAGGUUAAGAGGAGAGGUUAGCUUCGGCGAAGCUUUGAAUUGAAGCCCCAGUAAACGGCGGCCGUAACUAUAACGGUCCUAAGGUAGCGAAAUUCCUUGUCGGGUAAGUUCCGACCCGCACGAAAGGCGUAAUGAUUUGAGCACUGUCUCGACAAU
rnacentral:rRNA from 1 species